UUACCUACCUGCCGGGCUGUUCGACGCCACAACCAGAAUAAAGGUCAUAUAUUUCUGGGAUAAUAAACUUGAUCACCUACCUGCCGGGCUGUUCAACGCGACAACCGAAUUAGAAUCCCUAGAUUUGAAAGGUAAUCAACUUGUUCACCUACCUGCCGGGCUGUUCAACACCACAACCAAAUUACAAACCC